rnacentral:rRNA from 1 species
UACGUAGGGUGCAGGCGUUGUCCGGAAUCAUUGGGCGUAAAGAGCUCGUAGGUGGUUUGUCGCGUUGUUCGUGAAAACUCACAGCUUAACUGUGGGCGUGCGGGCGAUACGGGCAGACUUGAGUACUGCAGGGGAGACUGGAAUUCCUGGUGUAGCGGUGGAAUGCGCAGAUAUCAGGAGGAACACCGGUGGCGAAGGCGGGUCUCUGGGCAGUAACUGACGCUGAGGAGCGAAAGCGUGGGGAGCGAACAGG